rnacentral:rRNA from 1 species
UCCGUAGGCGGUGUGGCAAGUCGGGAGUGAAAUCUCUGGGCUUAACUCAGAGGCUGCUUCCGAAACUGCCGUGCUAGAGUGUGAGAGAGGCGAGUGGAAUUGCGGGUGUAGCGGUGAAAUGCGUAGAUAUCCGCAGGAACAUCCGAGGCGAAAGCGGCUCGCUGGAUCACAACUGACGCUGAGGGACGAAAGCUAGGGGAGCAAACA